rnacentral:rRNA from 1 species
GACGAACGCUGGCGGCGUGCUUAACACAUGCAAGUCGAACGGAAAGGCCCUGCUUUUGUGGGGUGCUCGAGUGGCGAACGGGUGAGUAACACGUGAGUAACCUGCCCUUGACUUUGGGAUAACUUCAGGAAACUGGGGCUAAUACCGGAUAGGAGCUCCUGCUGCAUGGUGGGGGUUGGAAAGUUUCGGCGGUUGGGGAUGGACUCGCGGCUUAUCAGCUUGUUGGUGGGGUAGUGGCUUACCAAGGCUUUGACGGGUAGCCGGCCUGAGAGGGUGACCGGCCACAUUGGGACUGAGAUACGGCCCAGACUCCUACGGGAGGCAGCAGUGGGGAAUAUUGCACAAUGGGCGGAAGCCUGGUGCAGCAACGCCGCGUGCGGGAUGACGGCCUUCGGGUUGUAAACCGCUUUCGCCUGUGACGAAGCGUGAGUGACGGUAAUGGGUAAAGAAGCACCGGCUAACUACGU